GAUGAACGCUGGUGGCGUGCCUAAUACAUGCAAGUCGAGCGAACAGACGAGGAGCUUGCUCCUCUGACGUUAGCGGCGGACGGGUGAGUAACACGUGGAUAACCUACCUAUAAGACUGGGAUAGCUUCGGGAAACCGGAGCUAAUACCGGAUAAUAUAUUGAACCGCAUGGUUCAAUAGUGAAAGACGGUUUUGCUGUCACUUAUAGAUGGAUCCGCGCCGCAUUAGCUAGUUGGUAAGGUAACGGCUUACCAAGGCAACGAUGCGUAGCCGACCUGAGAGGGUGAUCGGCCACACUGGAACUGAGACACGGUCCAGACUCCUACGGGAGGCAGCAGUAGGGAAUCUUCCGCAGUGGGCGAAAGCCUGACGGAGCAACGCCGCGUGAGUGAUGAAGGUCUUCGGAUCGUAAAACUCUGUUAUUAGGGAAGAACAAAUGUGUAAGUAACUAUGCACGUCUUGACGGUACCUAAUCAGAAAGCCACGGCUAACUACGUG
rnacentral:rRNA from 1 species